AUACUUACCUGCCAGGGGAGAUACCAUGAUCAUGAAGGUGGUUUUCCCAGGGCGAGGCCCACCACCCAUUACAUUCUGGGUGUGCUGACCCCUGAGAUUUCCCCAAAUGUGGGAAACUCGACUACCUAAUUUGUGGUGGUGGGGGGGACUGCGUUUGCACUAUCCCCUG
ensembl:snRNA U1 U1 spliceosomal RNA